rnacentral:rRNA from 1 species
GGACCCGCACAAGUAGUGGAGCAUGUGGUUUAAUUCGAAGAUACGCGCAGAACCUUACCAACACUUGACAUGUUCGUCGCGACUUUAAGAGAUUAAAGUUUUCGGUUCGGCCGGACGAAACACAGGUGCUGCAUGGCUGUCGUCAGCUCGUGUCGUGAGAUGUUGGGUUAAGUCCCGCAACGAGCGCAACCCUCACUUUUAGUUGCCAUCAUUAAGUUGGGCACUCUGAAAGAACUGCCAGUGAUAAGCUGGAGGAAGGUGGGGAUGACGUCAAGUCCUCAUGGCCCUUACGUGUUGGGCUACACACGUGCUACAAUGGUAUCUACAACAGGAAGCAAAACCGCGAGGUUAAGCAAAUCCCCAAAAGUUAUCUCAGUUCGGAUUGCACUCUGCAACUCGAGUGCAUGAAGUUGGAAUU